AUUGAACGCUGGCGGCAGGCUUAACACAUGCAAGUCGAGCGGAGAUGAGGUGCUUGCACCUUAUCUUAGCGGCGGACGGGUGAGUAAUGCUUAGGAAUCUGCCUAUUAGUGGGGGACAACAUUCCGAAAGGAAUGCUAAUACCGCAUACGUCCUACGGGAGAAAGCAGGGGAUCUUCGGACCUUGCGCUAAUAGAUGAGCCUAAGUCGGAUUAGCUAGCUGGUGGGGUAAGGGCCUACCAAGGCGACGAUCUGUAGCGGGUCUGAGAGGAUGAUCCGCCACACUGGGACUGAGACACGGCCCAGACUCCUACGGGAGGCAGCAGUGGGGAAUAUUGGACAAUGGGGGGAACCCUGAUCCAGCCAUGCCGCGUGUGUGAAGAAGGCCUUAUGGUUGUAAAGCACUUUAAGCGAGGAGGAGGCUACUUUAGUUAAUACCUAGAGAUAGUGGACGUUACUCGCAGAAUAAACACCGGCUAACUCUGUGCCAGCCGCCGCCGUAAGAC
rnacentral:rRNA from 1 species